AAUCAGACAAACCGCCCGGGCGGCUACGUGGUGGCCGUGGGGCCCAAUGACAUCGAUCCUUGGGAUACCACUCUUGUAGUGCUGGAAUUCUAACUUGCGGCCGUGAAACCGGCCGGAGGACAUUGUCAGGUGGGCAGUUUGACUGGGGCGGUCGCCUCCUAAAAGGUAUCGGAGGCGCUCAAAGGUUGGCUCAGCAUGGACGGAAACCAUGCCAGAGAGUGUGAACGCACAAGCCAGCCUGACUGCGAGACUGACAAGUCGAGCAGGAACGAAAGUUGGAGUUAGUGAUCCGGCGGUAUGUGAGUGGAAAUGCCGUCGCUCAACGGAUAAAAGCUACCCUGGGGAUAACAGGCUGAUCUCCCCCAAGAGUCGACAUCGAGGUGCCAAACCUCCCCGUCGAUGUGGACUCUUGGGG
rnacentral:rRNA from 1 species